UCUCUCAAAGAUUAAGNNCCAUGCAUGUNCCAAGUAUAAGCAAAUUUACAGUGAAACUGCGAAUGGCUCAUUAUAUAAGUUAUCGUUUAUUUGAUAGUGCCCAUCCUACAUGGAUAACAGUGGUAAUUCUAGAGCUAAUACAUGCUAAAAGCCCCGACUUCGGAAGGGGCGUAUUUAUCAGAAUCAGAACCAAUGCCCUCACGGGCUCUCUGGUGGCUCAUGAUAACUCCACAGAUCGCAUGGCCUUGCGCCGGCGAUGGCUCAUUCAAAUUUCUUCCCUAUCAACUUUCGACGGUACGGUCUUGGCCUACCGUGGUUGCAACGGGUGACGGAGGGUUAGGGCUCGACCCCGGAGAAGGAGCCUGAGAAACGGCUACUACAUCCAAGGAAGGCAGCAGGCGCGCAAAUUAUCCAAUCCCGACUCGGGGAGAUAGUGACAAUAAAUACCGAUACAGGGCUCUUUUGGGCCCCGUAAUUGGAAUGAGUACAAUUUAAACCUCUUAACGAGGAACAAUUGGAGGGCAAGUCUGGUGCCAGCAGCCGCGGUAAUUCCAGCUCCAAUAGCGUAUAUUAAAGUUGUUGUGGUUAAAAAGCUCGUAGUCGAACCUCGAGCCCGACCGGCCGGUCCGCCUCACCGCGUGCACUGGUCUGGCCGGGCUCUUCCCUCUGCGGAACCGCAUGCCCUUCACUGGGCGUGUCGGGGAGGCAGGACUUUUACUUUGAAAAAAUUAGAGUGCUCAAGGCAGGCCAAUGCUCGAAUACAUUAGCAUGGAAUAAUAGAAUAGGACGUUGGUUCUAUUUUGUUGGUUUCUAGGACCGCCGUAAUGAUCAAUAGGGACGGUCGGGGGCAUCAGUAUUCAGCCGCGAGAGGUGAAAUUCUUAGACCGGCUGAAGACUAACUACUGCGAAAGCAUUUGCCAAGGACGUUUUCGCUGAUCAGGAACGAAAGUUAGGGGAUCGAAGACGAUCAGAUACCGUCGUAGUCUUAACCAUAAACGGUGCCGACUUGGGAUCGGGCGCUGUUCUCUCUAGACGCGCUCGGCACCAUUCGAGAAAUCAAAGUGCGUGGGCUCCAGGGGGAGUAUGGCGGCAACGCUGAAACUAAGAAAAUAUUGGACGGAAAAA
rnacentral:rRNA from 1 species